GACAGAGGGUGCAAACGUUGUUCGGAAUUACUGGGCGUAAAGGGCUCGUAGGCGGCCAACUAAGUCGGAUGUGAAAUCCCCAGGCUUAACCUGGGAACUGCAUCCGAUACUGGAUGGCUUGAAUCCGGGAGAGGGAUGCGGAAUUCCAGGUGUAGCGGUGAAAUGCGUAGAUAUCUGGAGGAACACCGGUGGCGAAGGCGGCAUCCUGGACCGGCAUUGACGCUGAGGAGCGAAAGCCAGGGGAGCAAACGGG
rnacentral:rRNA from 1 species